GUUGGACCAAAGGAGUGCAGGCUUUCAGCAGCACAUAGGAACAAAAUUAUUAGAACAUUGAAUGAAAACGUGUAUCAUUACAAGAUGGCCUGACUCUGAGGUACCCCUUUUUAAAAGACAUGGAUAUCACAAAUGGUGCAUGUCUCUGAAACGCAAGUUUAAAUGUGAGGAUGUUGAAGAAGGAAAAAGACUACAAGAUUACCUGCCUUUGAUUGUUUUUGUGUUUGCCUAUGCACAAGGACAUUGAUGUUGUUGGAGAGAAUGUUACAUCAAUAAUGGGACAGGUAAAGUCCUGCAAGACCAGUACAGAAGGACACCGCCAGAUACUUGUUGAAGAGUGAAUAAAGAAGACCUUUGCCUGUUGGUGAAAGAAGAUUACUAGUAAGAUGACUGUUGAAGAUGCUGUCAACAAAUAUCCAUUCUUGAAGAGUCCAUCAGAUCUUCAUCAAGAAAGUGGUUUCCUGUAUUAAUCUGUUAAUCUAUGCCACCACUUUCAAGAAACAUUGCGUCCAGUGUGCUACGACUUGCUCAAGGGAAAUCUCUAUCAAUGCUGCACAAAGAGGCUAGAGAGGAAUAUCUCAGUGAAGACGGUCAUGGAAUUGUUUUAAAAGCAGCACUUCUCAUGUUGCCAGCCUUGUUCAGAGAGAAGCUCGAACACUGCAUUGUGCUUGGGAAGAGCAAACCAUCUUCACCAAGUUUAAUAGGAAGCCAGUGACUGAAGAACUUACUGUGGAUGGUGACAACCCUCUACCUACCGCAGUUAAGAGUAAUCAACCUCUUACAUUAACACCUGCAAAAAUGCCCUGCAUUUUCUGUUUCACUAAAUGCUUUUGGAGAAUAUUCAUGAUUGUCCAGUGAAUGCAGCACAUUGUUCUUAUUCAUGCUUAUGAGGCAAAUUUUUCAAUAACGUGGUCUGAAUGACUGUCAGAGAACAUUUUCAAAUUCUGAAACCUUUAGAUGUCAUUUUUACCAAAAGCAUGAACAGACGGAGUUACAACAGACUGAUGAUCCUCUGCCUCUGCUUAUGGAAGUUAAAGAAGAAUGUUUUUUGUUGUGAUUAUUUCUGUGUGCAAUAUGAGGAUGAAUAAUGGACUGUACUCUCUCCAGGUGAGGAGGAUGAUUAUCAGGCAUUAGAUACCUACAAAGUUAUUUAUAAGCACUUGAUAUUCUUGCUGAAGACAAACAGCUUUAUACUGUAAACCUCAAAAUGUGCUGUACUUGAUGUAGCCUAUUUAAUAAGGUUUAAAUCAAUGUUAAACAGUAAAUUUGUAUUUGUCCAACUGAAUUUGUAAUUACUGUACAGUAUAAAAUAGGGGUGGGCGAUAUGACCAAAAUCUUAUAU